UCCGGUUUGACACCGGCAGUCUCCUAUGAGUCCCCGACAUGACUCGCUGGCAACAUAGGAUAGGGGUUGCGCUCGUUGCGGGACUUAACCCAACACCUCACGGCACGAGCUGACGACAACCAUGCACCACCUGUGCACGGCCCCGAAGGACACCGCAUCUCUGCGGCUUUUCCGUGCAUUUCAAGCCCUGGUAAGGUUCUUCGCGUUGCGUCGAAUUAAGCCACAUGCUCCGCCGCUUGUGCGGGCCCCCGUCAAUUCCCUUGAGUUUUAGCCUUGCGGCCGCACUCCCCAGGCGGGGUGCUUAAUGCGUUAGCUGCGGCACGGAGGGGGUCAAUACCCCCCACACCUAGCACCCAUCGUUUACGGCUAGGACUAC
rnacentral:misc_RNA from 1 species